GUAGAAUCUUCCCUCAAAAUUAUUGCUGCACCCAUACCUGCUUCGUUACGCCUCCGGAAUGCUACGGACGCCGUCAGUUGUAUGGAAGGCAAGAUUUCGCGUGAGGUUACCGAUGCGGUUCCACAGACAAUUAACUAGCAGCAGGCAUAAGCUAGUAUUCUAGUUUCAGUAAAACGUGUAACUGUAAACUGAGCGUAAAUAAACUAGUGAGUACAAGUUUAAAAAAUACUAAA